rnacentral:rRNA from 1 species
GACGAACGCUGGCGGCGCGCUUAACACAUGCAAGUCGAACGGAAAGGCCUGCUUUCCCUUGUGGAUUGCGGGUACUCGAGUGGCGAACGGGUGAGUAACACGUGAGUGAUCUGCCCCCAACUUGGGUAUAAGCCUGGGAAACUGGGUCUAAUUCCCGAUAGGACUGCAGGGUGGUGCCUGUGGUGGAAAACGAUUUUCUAGUGGUUGGGGAUGAGCUCGCGGCCUAUCAGCUUGUUGGUGGGGUAACGGCCUACCAAGGCGGCGACGGGUAGCCGGCCUGAGAGGGUGGACGGCCACAUUGGGACUGAGAUACGGCCCAGACUCCUACGGGAGGCAGCAGUGGGGAAUAUUGCACAAUGGGCGGAAGCCUGAUGCAGCGACGCCGCGUGGGGGAUGACGGCCUUCGGGUUGUAAACUCCUUUCGACCGCGAGGAAGCCACCUGGUUGGAAGGGUGGUGACGGUAGUGGUAGAAGAAGCACCGGCUAACUACGU